rnacentral:rRNA from 1 species
UGCAAGUCGAGGGGCAGCAUGAACUUAGCUUGCUAAGUUUGAUGGCGACCGGCGCACGGGUGAGUAACACGUAUCCAACCUUCCGUUUACUCAGGGAUAGCCUUUCGAAAGAAAGAUUAAUACCUGAUAGUAUGGUGAGAUUGCAUGAUAGCACCAUUAAAGAUUUAUUGGUAAACGAUGGGGAUGCGUUCCAUUAGGUAGUAGGCGGGGUAACGGCCCACCUAGCCGACGAUGGAUAGGGGUUCUGAGAGGAAGGUCCCCCACAUUGGAACUGAGACACGGUCCAAACUCCUACGGGAGGCAGCAGUGAGGAAUAUUGGUCAAUGGGCGAGUGCCUGAACCAGCCAAGUAGCGUGAAGGAUGAAGGUCCUACGGAUUGUAAACUUCUUUUAUACGGGAAUAAAGUAUCCUACGUGUAGGAUUUUGUAUGUACCGUAUGAAUAAGCAUCGGCUAACUCCGUGCCAGCAGCCGCGGUAAUACGGAGGAUGCGAGCGUUAUCCGGAUUUAUUGGGUUUAAAGGGAGCGCA